UUGGCGCCCCCAGGAGUCCGUCUCAACCCAGGGAGGCCGUGGAAGUGGCGCUCCGCCCCGCCGCCCCCACCUGGAAAUAUGACGAUUGGGGCCACGACAGAAAAGGCCGUGUCCGUGCCUGGAAACGAACUUCCGGAGCAAGGCUUCCAGAACCCCCUUCCCUGGGUCUGCGAGGGCUCAGAGGAGCUGGGCUUGUGCAGGGUGGUCAGUGCGCGCCCAGGCGCCCUGCUCCCCUCUCUUUUAAAACAGGACGUCAAGGCCCCCUCCGAUCUCACCCAACACUGGCGGUUCCCACCCUGCACAGCACCGCUGCUUUCCUUGCCCUGUGGAAGAUGCCAGCUGUUCCAGUGCUUGAUGUGGUGAACGUGCGUCCCCUGCCACCGCUCUAGACGUCUCAUGCGUUUGUCUCAGUGGAGCUGGAAUUGUGCUGAUAUAGAACGUUUUGCCCCAAUCAACCAUAUUUUGUAUUUUAUUGGCUGUUUUAUUCCGUUGGUUUAUUUGAGGAUUGGAUAGGAUACAAAUCUAAUUUUAAAAUUAAAAAUAAAUGCUUUCUU